CCUACGGGUGGCAGCAGUGAGGAAUAUUGGUCAAUGGACGCAAGUCUGAAGCAGCCAUGCCGCGUGCAGGAAGACGGCUCUAUGAGUUGUAAACUGCUUUUGUAAGAGGGUAAAUGCCGAUACCCGUCUAUGUCUGAAAGUAUCGAACGAAUAAGGCACGGCCAACUCCGUGCCAGCCGCCGCGGUAACACGGAGGAUUCAAGCGUUAUGAGGAGUUAUUGGGGGUAAAGGGUGCGUAGGCGGUCGGAUAAGUUAGAGGUGAAAUCCCGAGGCUCAACUUCGGAAUUGCCUCUGAUACUGUUCGGCGAGAGAGUAGGUGCGGUAGGCGGAAUGUAUGGUGUAGCGGUGAAAUGCUUAGAGAUCAUACAGAACACCGAUUGCGAAGGCAGCUUACCAAGCUACUUCUGACGUUGAGGCACGAAAGCGUGGGGAGCAAACAGGAUUAGAUACCCGAGUAGUC
rnacentral:rRNA from 1 species